GUCGAGCGACAGAUAAGGAGCUUGCUCCUUUGACGUUAGCGGCGGACGGGUGAGUAACACGUGGGUAACCUACCUAUAAGACUGGAAUAACUCCGGGAAACCGGGGCUAAUGCCGGAUAACAUUUAGAACCGCAUGGUUCUAAAGUGAAAGAUGGUUUUGCUAUCACUUAUAGAUGGACCCGCGCCGUAUUAGCUAGUUGGUAAGGUAACGGCUUACCAAGGCAACGAUACGUAGCCGACCUGAGAGGGUGAUCGGCCACACUGGAACUGAGACACGGUCCAGACUCCUACGGGAGGCAGCAGUAGGGAAUCUUCCGCAAUGGGCGAAAGCCUGACGGAGCAACGCCGCGUGAGUGAUGAAGGUCUUCGGAUCGUAAAACUCUGUUAUUAGGGAAGAACAAAUGUGUAAGUAACUAUGCACGUCUUGACGGUACCUAAUCAGAAAGCCACGGCUAACUACGUGCCAGCAGCCGCGGUAAUACGUAGGUGGCAAGCGUUAUCCGGAAUUAUUGGGCGUAAAGCGCGCGUAGGCGGUUUCUUAAGUCUGAUGUGAAAGCCCACGGCUCAACCGUGGAGGGUCAUUGGAAACUGGGAAACUUGAGUGCAGAAGAGGAAAGUGGAAUUCCAUGUGUAGCGGUGAAAUGCGCAGAGAUAUGGAGGAACACCAGUGGCGAAGGCGACUUUCUGGUCUGUAACUGACGCUGAUGUGCGAAAGCGUGGGGAUCAAACAGGAUUAGAUACCCUGGUAGUCCACGCCGUAAACGAUGAGUGCUAGUGUUAGGGG
rnacentral:rRNA from 1 species